UGAGACCUCUCUCUACCUGGGGCUUUCUGAAGAUUAAACCAGUUAGAUGUCAGUCAUAGAAGAGAAGAUGUUAACAGAAGGUUGUGUUACAAUUAAGUAGGAAAGAGAAGAACUGGACCAAAAAAGAGAAAAGCAGGAGGGCUUCCUUGCUGAUUUGCUUCUCUAGUUUCCAAGCCUUCCAGUGGCACUGCACACACAUGUAUGCAAUGGAUUUGAACCUGGAGUUCGAAGCGCUCCCCUCCAGCAGCAGCAGAAGGGCUGCAGACAAUUUCAUGGAGCUGAGCAGGACAGCAAUAAAUGCUGCAGUGUUCUGCAGUGACCCCUCGGAGCCACCUGGAGGUGGUUUGGGCCCAUGGGAGGCAGAGGAAGUUCUGAAAAACAAAGGUGAGAAGCUGUAUGCAAUUCCUCAAUUCCAGCGUCCUGUGCUGGCUUCUAAAAGUCAUCACUGAAUGCUGUUUGAGGUAGAAGAGAAGCUUUUUAGAGAAGUGGAAGAUUUGUGCUGAGACCCCACUGGUGUGCUUUGGUUGUCCUAACCUGAACUGCAUUGUUCCUUCAGUGCUGUGCCAGCACACCCAUCGGCACAGGGGAGGAAAGAGGCAGAAAUAUGGCUCAUGAGGAGGACAGUUCUGUAGGUCUGUGCUAUUAAUUGUGCUAAGGCAUUAGUGUAGGACCAUGGCAAAUGCAACAGAUCUGUGUGCUGGGCAGGAAUCCCAAACCUUUGGGAAGGACACCAAAGAAGUCAAAUUAAAGCAAAACCAGAAGGUAGAGUGAACUCUCCACUGACACUGAAGGAAAACUCAGUAUGAGCAAGCCAGGAAACCAUGUGCUAACAAUGAAACCAGGCACCAGCACCACGGUGAAGGCAUCUUAGCCUCUGAGAAUGGCAUCUUUCCAUCCUGGAAAGAAGACAUCUGUGCAGGAAGGAGCUGAUGGGAGGCUGUGAGACCUCCUGAGGAGCUGGCAGAGGCAGGCUGUGCCUGCUCCAGCAGCACCCUCCUGCAGGGCCUGCACGGUGAGGAUGCUGUGCUCUGUGCAGUGCAUGCCUGCAGCCCGGGAGCUCUCCUUGCACCUGGAGCCUGGACUGCAGCCUGGCUGUCACUCCUUGGUGGUGUGUUGGUGGCUCCCAGGCAGUGUGAAGCUGAAUCAUAGCAGCGAGGAUGGGAGGAGGACGAUGAAGGAGGAAUGAAAAUCCUGGCAAGAGAAGAGCUCUGAACGUCUUUGAUGGGCAGUGAAUACAGCUGCACAGCAGCUCCCACCUCUCUGCAUCGAAGGAGUGAAACAAUGGCAGUGGGACCAUGUGGCCUCCUGAGAAAUGGAAAUCUCACUGUCGCUGUUAAUAAAUGGAUUGGGGGCUGAUUUUAAACCAGAAGCAAGCUCUGCAGGCAGGAGUCCUUUUUGCCUGCACUGUGCUGCUUUGAUCAGAUGGGUACAUUCAGUAAAGCAGCUCAGAUCCACUUUCUUCAGCAGCUUUUGACAGGAGGUGACAAUCCAGCAGUGCCUUCCAGGGUUUAUUCUUUCAGGAAAGUGAAAUCAUUCUGAGGUUUUGUUGAACCUCUGUCUCAGUGCUGCUACACCCCGGAGAAGACAACGGGGAAGUUUGCCAGCAUACAGCAGCGUGUCCUUGCAAGAACACUUGUAUUUUGCAUUAAUCUGGCUGAAAUGCUGUUAUAAUGAAGUCUGUCUGGGCACUUGCUGCUCUGUAUUGGGCGAUCCGCAGGGCUUGCAGCAGCCCGAGCUGUUACAAUAUUGCUGUUCCUGUUGCACUGGGGUUUGUGUCUGAUGGCAGUUCUGAUGAAACAGUUGCAAUUUCUGCUCCGCCUUGUGUAAAAUGGAUUCCCAUCAUGGGGAGGCAGAAAAGGGCUUCUCUGCAGCCGAGGAAGGAAUGGUUUCCAUUUGUGUUUGCAAUGCCUGGCAGUUAUGCCUGGCUGACCGAGUGAUCCCUGCCCUGUGCAAUGCAGGACAGGUGUGUUCUCUCAUGGCUGGGGCUGGCAGAGCUCACACAGGUGUUUGGGGGCCACAGCCACUGAGCCCUUGUGCUGCAGCACUGCUCCCAGCAGCAGGUGUUUGUCCCAUUCCCCUCCACCCUGUGGUGAGCUGCUCCUCCUCACGGUGCUCUGGGUGUUCGGUGCUCAUCAGGAGGGCACUGAGUGCAGCCCUUUGUGUCACUGAUGCUGAGCAUCGGCCGUGAGUCACUGCAGCACAGGGAUAAGCAGGCAUAGGGACAUGGAGGCUGUGAAUAAAUGUGUGAGGCUGGGAUAAACAGCACAGAUUGAACUUGAAUGAAGCUAAGACCAUCAGCAAAGACUUUAUACUGAUCGUGUGGGAACAUCCAGAUGCAAUGCAGAGCUCCUCUUCUGACAGAUAUUCCCUAGUCCUAACAUCCCUCAUUUCAGUUCGGAGUUGUACCUAUGCCCUCCUCUGAGGUUUCUCCAUUUGCUAACAGUGGAACAAAUAGUCCUAAAGCUUUACUUUAUUUUUUUCCUUCAGUUCUUCUGCACAAUUCUCUCAGGUCUUUCAGAAUUCUGGCCUCCUGCUCUGUUACUCUUGAGCAGUCCCACAGUCUGCACUUAGAAUCUGUGGUGAAAGACAGUGCAUCACUAUGCAAGAAUAUUUGUGACGUAGUGCUAUUAAAACCAACACUUGAGACUUAAUGGCCGUUUAAUCUCCACUUAUUUUUUGAAUUCUCUACAACCAUAAUGUUUUCCCCUCGAUGGAGCAAUAUUUGUGCUCCAUAUUUGCAUUCAAUUUGCAAAUUUGCAUUGCAAUGCAUUCAGUUGCCAUUUCAGAACAAAAGCAGGAAGGUGGCAUUACCUGCACAAAUGCUUUGCUCAUUGCUUCCAGAAGGAAAAAGCAGAGACAGCACAUAGCCAUAAUACUCACCUGCAACAAUCUCGACCUUUACUUUUAGUGGCACUUAUUGGUGCACGUCCACUGCUGAUGUAACUCUGCUGGGUGUGGGCUUCCUUCUUAUUGUGGCACCCAAAGUGAUGUUCAGAUAGAGUGUGGUGUUCCCAGAGGGGUGCCUGGCACAGAGCUGAGGGUGGGGCACUGCCAGCAAGCUGUGUGCUGUGCAGCUGAGCCAUGGAACUUUCCUCUAGAUCUACAAAUAUUACAAAGUGUUAUCUGAAAAUGAUCUGGAUUUCAGCUUUUUUUCCAAGGUUUACCAUCCCUUUUGCCUCUCCAUGAGAAGCAUGUAGAUAUCUGCUGUGGUUUGGCAGGGGUUGUUGGAGGACUGUGAGCUUCUGCCCUCCAUGCUCUGUUGGCCCACAGAGCCCAGGGUGCUGCCCUGGCUGAAGGAGUUGCACAUCUCUCUGUGGUGAGAAGGGGCCCCUCCAACUAUGCAGCACUUCUUGAGAUUUAUGUAGGAUUCAGACCUGGGCUUUGUCUCACUCUGCUUCAUCUUUCAUUUCUGAUGACAGAAUCGCCACUGCAGAUGCUAGCGACGAAAUGAGCUUUUGUGAUAUCUUAUUUUUGUAGAUGUUUCCUGAGAGCAGAAAGCUGAAAUUGUACCUUCUUACCUUCUGCUAUUGUAGUGUAAGUGGUGGCAUUGUUUCCUCUGUGACCUGUCCUGAAAGGCUACAGAAACGCCAGAAUUUUGCAAGCAGCAGUGCUGCCUGAAGUCAGCACUAUCCCAGCUGCUCAGCCUCACUCACAAGCUAGGAGUUCCACAGCUCUGUUGGCAGAUGGGGUCACACAAAUGCUGUUCCCUGAACACGACAUGUUGGGUUAUGCAGUGCUUCAGUGCUGAUCUGGGAGAGCAGAUCUGACCAGCUCCAGCUAACACAGCGAGGCCAGGAGAAUGUCCAUAAAUGGUCGCUGCCCUCGUCUGCAAACAAACAUUUCUUUAGUUUUUGGACGAUGUACAAAUACUGUAGAAACAAAACAGCAUUUCAAAGAGAUCAUAUUUCAUGGUUAAGUAAGAAUCUGAGAGCUCCAAAAGUCGAACCAUGGUUACAACACUGCCUGUGGUGUGCUUUUGUGCAUGACAAAGUUCUGGGUUCAUCAGCAGUCAGAGUACAUUCCUGAUGUUGGUACAAGGUAGGAGUUUGGCACGUCGAAGUUUUGUGUGCGGCAAUCAGACAGAACGAAUCCACCGUUCCCCAUUCUGCAGUGCGCUCCUGCCUGCUCUUCUCUCUAGCUGCAGUAGAUCUGUGCUGUUUGCUCAGCUGACACCACGCUUCCUGAAAAUGGUUCCUUCUAAUUUGAAACAGGCACAGCAGCAACAACGAUUACAAAAAACCCACCAUUCCCUCCAACCCUAUAAUCUUCUUGGCUGUAAUUUGAUUCUACGUUUUGCUCUGAUUUUUGAGAGUUUUGUAGUAUCACCCACAGUUCCAUGAAGGCUUUGCUGUAUGUAAAUACAGAAAGAGUGGAGAGGGAGUGGGAGCACUGGAAGAUGAUGGAAGAGAACACCGCUGACAUGAAGGUGCUCAAAGUCAGUCACAUCAAAACUGUUGGAUUUCCUGUCAUGGUGUGCUAAAUAGACGUGAUGUGUUGAAAGGGUGGCUGAAAGUGAGUUAUGAUGAUAUGGUCAUAAGCAAGAUAGGAAAUCAUCAGGCCCAGAAGUCUUUGGAACCAGUUCCGUGGAAACCUUUAUCAAUAUUUUUGGUGAAAUGUUUCAGAUGGGAAUUCAGUUUCUCUGUUCUUGGCUUGGCUGUGUUCAAUGUGUCCUUUAAUGUACUGUGGGAUGAAAUGAGAAAUGUAUUAAAACUGCAGCUGCAGAAACUGGAAAGCCUGGCAGAUGGUAAAAGGCAUUAUUAGAGUUCUUAAUGCUCUUGACAAAUAGGAAGAAUGAUUGGAAAGCUGUAGGAUGCAGUACAGAGAUGACAUAAAGGGAAAAACAGAGUAUGGGAGGAGGAAUGAUGUGCUGAGAUCUGAGAUGGGAAUGAAUGGUUGGCCAGGGGCAGAUGGAGAGUUAUAUUGGUGCACAAGCCCAGUACAAAAUAGAGACCUACUGUUUGAUACUGACAAUAUGAUGUUUAAUGAGGAAUACUGCCCACAGAGCAGGUGAAGUAAUCUUGUGGCUCAGCUAAGUUUUGGUAAAUCCUAGGACAAAACAUCUGGUUGGGACUACUCUCCAAUCAGCAGCCUGAAGAGACUGCAGGCAGUAUGGCAAAAAGUUCAGCAGCGUGUCAUAGGCAUCUGCCACAUGAUCAGAGAUCCUGGAACCUGUCUUCAUAACCUAUAAAGACAGAACUCCUCAGACAGAACAUGUAAAAUGCUUUUGUACGGGAGGGAAUAUUUUGUUUGUUGAGUUCAUGCUGUGUAGGGCAAGAAAUGAUGUGUUUAAACUGCAUGAAGAUUGAUUAAAAGUGAAACAGUAAGUAAAAUACUGGCAAAGAACGAGGAAAUCAUUAGAAUGGAUUGCCUGGGAAGGCGGUGGAGUAUCGAUUACGGCCUGUGUUUAAGGAAAGUUUGGGUGUGUGUCUGUCAGGAGCAGUUAGCUGUGAUUAACUCUGCGGUAAACAGGGUUCUCUGGUUGCCAAGACCCCUCCUAGCCUUGUUUUCUGCGAUGCUGUUCCUUAUCUUCUAUCACUGUG